AGAGUUUGAUCCUGGCUCAGGACGAACGCUGGCGGCGUGCCUAAUACAUGCAAGUCGAGCGGACCGGAUUGGGGCUUGCCUUGAUUCGGUCAGCGGCGGACGGGUGAGUAACACGUGGGCAACCUGCCCGCAAGACCGGGAUAACUCCGGGAAACCGGAGCUAAUACCGGAUAACACCGAAGACCGCAUGGUCUUCGGUUGAAAGGCGGCCUUUGGGCUGUCACUUGCGGAUGGGCCCGCGGCGCAUUAGCUAGUUGGUGAGGUAACGGCUCACCAAGGCGACGAUGCGUAGCCGGCCUGAGAGGGUGACCGGCCACACUGGGACUGAGACACGGCCCAGACUCCUACGGGAGGCAGCAGUAGGGAAUCUUCCGCAAUGGGCGAAAGCCUGACGGAGCGACGCCGCGUGAGCGAAGAAGGCCUUCGGGUCGUAAAGCUCUGUUGUGAGGGACGAAGGAGCGCCGCUCGAAGAGGGCGGCGCGGUGACGGUACCUCACGAGAAAGCCCCGGCUAACUACGUG
rnacentral:rRNA from 1 species